GACGAACGCUGGCGGCGUGCUUAACACAUGCAAGUCGAACGGUGAAGCGCCUUCCUUUUUGGUGGGUGUGGAUGAGUGGCGAACGGGUGAUUAACACGUGAGUAACCUGCCCCCUUCUUCUGGAUAACCGCAUGAAAGUGUGGCUAAUACGGGAUAUUCUGGGUCUGUCGCAUGAUUGGUCUGGGACAGAUAUUGUUUCGGUUGGGGAUGGGCUCGCGGCCUAUCAGCUUGUUGGUGGGGUGAUGGCCUACCAAGGCGGUGACGGGUAGCCGGCCUGAGAGGGUGGACGGUCACACUGGGACUGAGACACGGCGCAGACUCCUACGGGAGGCAGCAGGGGGGAAUAUUGCACAAGGGGCGCAAGGCUGAUGCAGCGACGCCGCGUGAGGGAUGGAGGCCUUCGGGUUGUGAACCUCUUUCGCCAGUGAAGCAGGCCUGCCUCGUUUGUGGGUGGGUUGACGGUAGCUGGAUAAGAAGCGCCGGCUAACUACGUG
rnacentral:rRNA from 1 species